rnacentral:rRNA from 1 species
GAUGAACGCUGGCGGCGUGCCUAAUACAUGCAAGUCGAGCGAACAGACGAGGAGCUUGCUCCUCUGACGUUAGCGGCGGACGGGUGAGUAACACGUGGAUAACCUACCUAUAAGACUGGGAUAACUUCGGGAAACCGGAGCUAAUACCGGAUAAUAUAUUGAACCGCAUGGUUCAAUAGUGAAAGACGGUUUUGCUGUCACUUAUAGAUGGAUCCGCGCCGCAUUAGCUAGUUGGUAAGGUAACGGCUUCCAAGGCGACGAUGCGUAGCCGACCUGAGAGGGUGAUCGGCCACACUGGAACUGAGACACGGUCCAGACUCCUACGGGAGGCAGCAGUAGGGAAUCUUCCGCAAUGGGCGAAAGCUUGACGGAGCAACGCCGCGUGAGUGAUGAAGGUCUUCGGAUCGUAAAACUCUGUUAUUAGGGAAGAACAAAUGUGUAAGUAACUAUGCACGUCUUGACGGUACCUAAUCAGAAAGCCACGGCUAACUACGUG